AAUUUCGAUGAUCUUUGAAAUCCACGUAGGACUGCAUGUGUCAUGAUGGCAAAAAUCAUAAAAAAAAGGUAAAAUUGUGUCAAAAGGUUUUAAAAUAAGAAAAAUAAUGAUUUUAUUUAAAUGGGAUAAAAUGUGUCCCAAACUUUCUUAGAGGGCUAAACUGUGGAUUCAACCGUAAAUAUAAUUAAUAACAUGUACGGAGUACCAAUUAAUUCAAUCUCAAAAACUAAAAUAGCGAAAUUAUAAGGGAAAAACAUUUCGAAUAACCAGUCCCAUGAGGAUAAAACUACAGC
rnacentral:lncRNA from 1 species